UGUAACUGAGGCAUGUGAUUUCUGCCCGAAAUGUCCCAGCGCUGGAUACAGUAGGCUAAAAUGCACUGAAUAUGUUGGCAUUUGGAAAUACCGAGCUCUACCCACAAUUUGCUUUGCAGUUACUUUUAAAAUUACUAAUACGGGGUGAAACCGCGGCGGUCUCGGCUGUUUCAUUGAGGUGACUACAGAGCCAUGAGGUCCUCAUCCUCGCGUUUAUCAAGUUUUUCCUCAAGGGAUUCUUUAUGGAGCCGGAUGCCGGAUCAGAUCUCCGUAUCCGAGUUUCUCUCGGAGACGACGGAGGAUUACAAUUCCCCCACGACUUCAAGCUUCACCACUCGCUUGCAGAGCUGUCGGAACACGGUCAGUGUUCUGGAGGAGGCUUUGGACCAGGACCGAACAGCUUUACAAAAGGUCAAGAAAUCCGUAAAAGCAAUCUACAACUCAGGUCAAGAGCAUUUGCAGAAUGAAGAGAAUUAUGGGCAGGCAUUGGACAAAUUUGGCAGCAACUUCAUUAGCCGAGAUAACUCUGAUCUGGGAACAGCCUUCAUCAAGUUCUCAAGCCUCAUCAAGGAGCUGGCUGCUCUGCUCAAGAACCUGCUUCAGAGUCUCAGCCACAAUGUCAUCUUCACUCUGGACUCUCUGCUCAAAGGAGAUCUGAAGGGAGUGAAGGGGGAUCUUAAAAAGCCUUUUGACAAGGCCUGGAAAGACUACGAGACCAAGUUCACAAAGAUUGAGAAAGAGAAAAGGGAACAUGCCAAGCAGCACGGUAUGAUCCGUACAGAGAUAACUGGUGCAGAGAUUGCAGAGGAGAUGGAGAAGGAACGACGAAUCUUUCAGCUGCAGAUGUGUGAGUACCUGAUUAAAGUGAACGAGAUAAAGACCAAGAAGGGAGUGGACCUCCUUCAGAAUCUCAUCAAGUAUUAUCAUGCGCAAUGCAAUUUUUUCCAGGAUGGCUUAAAAACCGCUGAUAAGUUGAAGCAGUAUAUCGAGAAGUUAGCUGCUGAUCUCUAUAAUAUAAAACAGACUCAAGAUGAGGAGAAAAAACAGCUGACUGCUCUUAGAGAUCUCAUCAAGUCAUCCUUACAACUGGAACAGAAAGAGGAUUCUCAGAGCAAGCAGAGUGGCUACAGUAUGCACCAGCUGCAGGGCAAUAAGGAGUUUGGCAGUGAGAAGAAGGGCUAUCUCUUUAAGAAGAGUGAUGGGAUCCGUAAGGUGUGGCAGAGGAGGAAGUGCUCUGUGAAGAAUGGCAUCCUCACCAUCUCUCAUGCCACAUCCAACAGGCAGCCAGUGAGACUGAAUCUGCUAACCUGCCAGGUUAAACCCAGCGGAGAGGAUAAGAAGUGCUUUGACCUCAUCUCCCAUAAUCGAACAUAUCAUUUCCAGGCAGAGGAUGAACAGGAGUUUGUGAUAUGGAUCUCAGUGCUGACUAACAGUAAGGAGGAGGCUCUGAACAUGGCAUUCCGUGGCGAGCAGAGUGCUGGAGAUGACAGUUUGGAAGACUUGACCAAAGCCAUCAUCGAAGACGUGCUACGCAUGCCUGGGAAUGAAGCCUGCUGUGACUGUGGCGCGCCAGAUCCUAAAUGGUUAUCCACUAACCUCGGCAUCCUGACAUGCAUCGAGUGUUCAGGGAUCCACAGGGAAAUGGGAGUCCAUAUUUCACGCAUCCAGUCCAUGGAACUUGACAAACUAGGCACUUCUGAACUCUUGCUGGCUAAGAAUGUGGGUAAUAGUAGUUUUAAUGAAAUAUUGGAAGGGAAUCUGCCGAGUCCAUCACCAAAGCCAACACCAUCAAGUGACAUGACAGAGAGAAAGGAGUACAUAAAUGCGAAGUAUGUGGAGCACAGGUUUGCUCGCCGGACAGCCACUACAGCAACGGCCAGACAGGGUGAUCUAUAUGAAGCCGUGAGGACUCGAGACCUGAUGUCCCUUAUUCAGCUGUACGCUGAUGGAGUGGAACUCAUGGAUCAAUUUCCAGAAGCUGGACAGGACCCGGGAGAAACUGCGUUGCACUUUGCUGUGCGGACAUCUGACCAGACCGCACUGCAUCUGGUGGACUUUCUUGUCCAAAAUAGUGGAACUCCAGACAGACAGACGGAUAGUGGAAACGCUGCUCUGCAUUACUGCUGCACAUAUGAGAAGCCAGAGUGUCUCAAACUGCUGCUCAGGGGAAAGCCAUCUAUUGACCUAGUAAAUCAAAAUGGGGAGACAGCCUUGGACAUUGCCAGGCGACUGAAAAAUGCACAGUGUGAAGAGCUGCUGGUGGAGGCCGCAGCCGGAAGGUUUAAUCCUCAUGUUCAUGUGGAGUAUGAGUGGAAUCUGCGGCUGGAGGAGGUUGAUGAGAGUGACGAUGACCUAGAUGACAAGCCCAGUCCAGUGAAGAAGGAGCGUUCUCCGCGACCUCAGAGCUUCUGUCAUUCCUCCAAUGUGUCUCCUCAGGAUAAGCUGUCUCUGCCAGGGUAUUUAGGACACAGGGACAAGCAGAGACUUUCCUACGGAGCUUUUGCCAACCCAGUCUACAACACCUCCACCGACACACCCGCAUCUCCUGUAUCGGAGGGCCCUACAAUAGCUAGCAAGACCAUUGCAAAAGCUCCAUCCUCUGGACCACCCACCUCCCUGCCACUGGGAUCUCAGUCAAGUGUAGGAGGCAGCUCCACACUAUCUAAGAAGAGAGCGCCUCCUCCACCGCCCGGACACAAGCGCACCCUCUCAGAUCCCCCAAGCCCUAUACUGCAGGGCCCCCAUAGCAAAGGAAGUGAGUCCACACCUCCUUCUGCAAACUGGACAUCCCCUGCUAAUAAGUUUGAGGGAAUUCAGCAGCAGCAAAGCACUACAUCUAUGAACGCAAAAGCAACAUUUGGCCCACGAGUUCUUCCAAAACUACCACAAAAGGUGGCACUACGAAAGAUUGACACAAUCCACCUCCCCUCUGUGGACAAGUUUAGUCAGGGCACUGAUGUGCUGCAGAAACCCCCACAGGCCCAGGACACGCCCUCAACCAGAGCUUCAGAUCCAAUAACUAGACCCACAGAGCCUCCGCCUAAAAUACCACAACCCGCAGAACGGUCCCAGCCUCUUGAGGUGCCUCAGAAACCGCACGUCUCAGACCUUCCCCCUAAACCACAAUUAUCUGAUCUUCCCCCAAAACCACACUUGUCAGAUUUACCUCCAAAACCUCAGCUCUCUGACUUACCACCGAAACCACAGCUUAAGGAUCUUCCCCCUAAGCCACAGCUCUCAGACCUCGCAUCCAAGCCUUCAUUGUCUUCAGCAACUGAGCCCACACAGAGGCAACCAACACAGGAAGAAAUAAGUCCAAAGCCCGAGCUGACAGAGGGACAGUCAUUCAAUCAGCAGGAGGAGCUUUCUCCCAGACAGGCCAGUGAGGACACAAAUGGUGCACCUGCAGGAGCUAUGGAGAUGCCAGUCCCUAUGCCACGCAAAAUCAACACAGUACUUGGGGCAUCCAUCCAUCCAUCCAUCCAUCCAAUAUAUGAUAGAACUGAGGAACGUGUCUUUGCAGGGAAAAAACAAAGUCAGGCGUGUGAAAACCAUCUACGAUUGCCAAGCAGAUAAUGAUGAUGAGUUGACCUUUGUGGAGGGAGAAGUUAUAAUUGUUACAGGAGAGGAGGACCAUGAGUGGUGGAUUGGGCAUAUAGAAGGGCAACCCGACAGGAAAGGGGUCUUCCCAAUGUCCUUCGUACACAUUCUGUUAGACUGACAGAAUAUAACGGCAGGCGUGAAGCUCUCUAACUAGCACAAGCUCUGUCUCUCUGGCCUCACACUGGACUGUGGGCAUUGCCUCUGUAAAUAGAUGCUGAAACCCAAUCAGAGUCUUCAGACAAACAAAACAUGAAGUAUCAAACCCAUGCUCCCUUAAUCCUCAAGGGUGAAAUGUGUAAACUAUGUGUUGUUCAUAAACUGUGUUAUCCUGCCUACCAGUAUUAUCGUAGCCAUGGCAACCCAGCAUGCCAAACUGGGUUUGCAGUAGCUAUACUUGGAAUCUAGCACUUAACAUGUAUGCUGUAACUUUGUGUAUGUGUACACAUAUAGAAUUAUAUGUAUGUCCAUUUUAAUUUUAAUUUUUUACAUACAUAUGCACAGAUGUAAGUGUAUAUUUAUGUAUGUAUAAUGUAUCAGUGUGCAAAUGUAUGUUAUCCCUGCUUGCUUAUGGAGCCAGAGUGACUCUAGACAUGUUAGUGUACUGUUUUAAAAAAAACAAAUCAUCUCUUCAACUUUUAGGAGUAAAUGAUGAUAAGAGCAAAAUACAAUAAAGUUACAUAAAUACUAUAUCAGUCCCAGCAUAGUGGCAUGCUGAUCAGGGGUCAUAAUCAAAAUGUAAAGGUUUUAAGCGUCUCAUCUCCAAUAAAUACACAAUCAAAAUAUGUAUUCAUUCAGGUUGCAUUGCUUUUCAUUUUGGUGUGACAUGAAAAAAUGGAAAUCGUCUUGGUUACUCACAUAACCUUGGUUCCCCUAAAGCAGGGACUAGACACUGCAUCAGAAGCAAACACUAUGGGAGAAUUCAUCCGGGGUCGAGACUUUGAAACCAUAUACCAUCUAGCCAAUUCGAGUGCAUGUAAAGCUUAGCACUCUGCCUAUGUGGACGACAUCUUGAGCCGUAUACCAUAACAGCAUAGUACUGAUGUGCAAUGCCUUCUAGCAUUAUAGGGUAGUCAAAAGCAUUGCUGUAGCCACACCUUCAUAUUGAGAAAUAAUAGGUGGGGGCAAUAAACCAACAGCUUGAUGCUAAGACAGAGACACUGUGCUGUCUGUACAAGUCAGGACAUGAAGCUUUGGUGUCUGACCAACAGGAUCUAAGAGCCUGGCAAUUUAUGUGCCACACAGUUUGUGCACUUUUCCAGGUGCCAAAUGCCAGACAUCCUAGCACAGGGCUCCCCAGUCUGUUGUGACAAAUUUGCAUCUGGCCAGCUUGGCAAAUAUCACACUUUUCCAAUAAAACUCGGUUUUCCUCAAUAAUGUGUCACUAUGAGGCAAAGGUGACCAUGUUGCCAAGUCUGUUGAAGGACCCUUGGGCUGAGCCAGCACUGGAGAGUUCUAAUCUGUAGCAAGCCUAGCAGGGCUAUGGUGGCUGCAGCGGCUAUCAAGCCAAACACUUGCUGUUACUGACGCAUUCAAGUGUGGGAGAAUGGAAUGAACACAUUUUUGGUCUGGUGCCAACAUGUUUACCAAGUUGAGUUUCAUUCCUAGGAAGGAAACUAGUUAACUGGGCACACAUUUCCAGUUACCAUUGAGUUUCCAAUGAGCUAGCAACAGGUCUCUGUGCUUGCACGCUUGUACCAUGGAUUAAGCUAUCAGCAACCAGUCGUUGAGGUAACAUGAAAUCAGCUCCCCAAUCCAAUUUAGUGGACAGACAUGAGACACUUCUCUGAGUUACUUCCUUGAAUGGAGACUUUUAAGUGUCCAAUUCAUGUGCCUCAAUUCCAGUAUGGGCCCCAGUCCACCGUUUUACUUGGCAACCAGAAAAUGAAUGGCUUUAGAAGCCGUUCUUUCCCUCGCAUGCCGUACUUCUAUCAAAUCUUUGGCGUGGAGGUAUUGUACAUCUGAGUGUAAAAUCUGCAAAUCCCGCACUGUGCUGUGUAGGGCAGAAUGCCAUUGAAGUGAGGGGUCACUUUACGUAGCAUGUGGCCAUGUUUGACUGUGAUCAGUCUGUAGUCGCUGGUGGCUGAAUGACACUAUCCAUCUGGGUGGCAGUCGCUCAGUGCAACAGAGUCUUCUCAGCUGGAUUUUGCUCACUUUAACGUGAGCAAAAGGGGUCUGUCAGUCGUGCUGGGGCAUGGCAAAGUUCUGGCAUACUAAACAGCAAAGACUGAAAGCGAGAAGAGUAUUUCUGACAAUUUUAGCCAGGGGUGUCAUUCUUCUGACACCAGGUCACCCAUAGUCCUGCCAAUUUCCUGGGCGGAGAUCAUGGAGUCUGGGGUGCUAAUUUGUGGCAUGGUUUUAGCAAGCACCACAAAGGCAGCUGCACUAGAUACGUCAAGUCAAAACGUGCCAUUCUUGACAUUGUUUUAUUUAAUGACAGGACUAUUUCCUUGCCAAAACAAAAAGAAGAGUGGACUGAACUUGUUGUAGCAGGAGAGGCUUGCUUUAUCUCGGUCAAGUGUGCUGACACGCUUUAGAAGGAAAGACUGGGCACCAACACACUCUUUAUCCAGUUGCCCCUGAUUUUAAUGGUCAAGUAAAAACCUCAAGCAACUCAGUUUCUUAUAAUUAAGGUAGAAAUAAAAAGGUCUCAGCACAAGGAUCAUCUCUGCUCCAUGAACAAGACAAAAACAACUUAAAUAUUGUGGAAUAGAGUUACAAAUGCACCAUUCCUGGACUGUCUUGUUUAGACUAGAGGCCUGCACAGGACUGUUGUUUUCAUCAUGCUCCCGCAAGUUUCUAUCCCGCAAUUUCCCACUGAAUUUAACUCCAUGUUCACCCUCUCUCUGCCCACAGUGAUUUUCUUCCCGACUGCUCCCGUUCCUGCAACCUCGCAUUUGUUUUCCACAUAUAUCAAAAGCCAUACAAAUAGACAACAAGCAUAUACAAAGAAUCAAUUUUUUUUUUCUGUUAUUACAAUUAUCAGAUGACAUGUGAAAAUGCCAAUUUGACUCGCCUGAAGUUGGUUUCUUAACACUACAUUUUAUAGUUCGAGUUUCACAUGCUUUGAUAACACAGUGUGCAUUUUGAUCUGCCAAUCUAUGAAAGCCCUGUUGACUACCUGCAUGGCUGCCUACUCUAAAUAUUGGAUAAUUUAAUACACAAACUGUGUGCAUUUAUUUUACAUUAUAAAAAAAACAACUAUUAUUGUUUUUUCUUUGUUUUUUGUUUUGUUUUAUGUAUUCAUUAACUAAUCAUAGAAUAAAAAAAGAGAUCCACGUCGGAUGUUUCAGGCUAUUCUCUGACCGCCGCUUCCGUCCACAUGUAAUGUAAGUACCGUCCGCUCCCACCUUCAACUCUGAAAUGUAAUCUAGCCCUACAAGAAAUCUAAUCGGGUCCCGCGGAUCCUGCGGGAGUUCCACAGUAAUGCAGAACUCUAGUUUAGACCCCUCUGAUAAGACCACCGUUGGACUAAGUGUAUGUUCAAUCAAGCACAACUCCAGCUGAUGGAUUCCUUUGUAGUAUUGUAACAUAUCAGUUGAUGUUUUAAAACAGGCAAAUGGCCAUAUUUAAGUGAAUAAACUGGAUUCAGACCUAAUGUCACAUUUAGGAUGUGUUUUGCCACUCUCUCAUACCUUGUUUUUUAAUUUUUGUCUGUUUGCUGCACUGUAAAUUCAGUCAGAAAGAAAUCCACACUUGGUUAUCAAGUUCAAAAUCUUAAAUCAGAAUAAAGAUGUA